GCCGAGACCAGCAGCGAGGGACUGCACACGGCCAGAUGCCAGUACAGUCUGUACGAGGCCCAGGAGGCAGAUCCGGGGAAGCACGACUCUCCAGCCCGCGGGGCCCGGCCAAGAGAGAGAGGGCCAAGCAGGAGGCAGGGAGUCUGCGCCCUGGGCAUCUCACGGAGCCGGUGGCCGUGUGCCCCGGGAGCUGGCACGUCAUCAGUCUCUGAUCUGAGAGCGUGCGGGAGCUUUGAAGCCAAUAAAGCCAUUGCCUGGUAUACAAGUGACAAUCACAUCAAGGCGUAUGUAACUGGAGCUAGGACAGCCAGCUUACAACAAGAAAGUCAAGAUGGAGCUUCUCUGAUUGAAGGUGGCAAAAGCCUCCUAAAGCCUGGGGCCUAAGUAGGCUGACAAGAGCAAUUUACUUACCGGGCGGCCUUAGCUCUCUUCCUCCAGAAGAUUCAUGCUGUCCUUCCUCUGUGCGUGAUGUCUUCCAUUUCUCAGACCCCUCGCAGUUGGACACAGGCAUGGGAAUAAUUCUGUCCACUAAAACGGGGGUGGGAAUGGCACACACUACUUCCGGGGUGAGGCAGUGAACACCUACGUGAGCUUUCCGAGCCUCUCUCCACUCCAGUUUCAGCCAGUGUGGAGGCCCUGAGUUGAAACAGGGGGCUGAACCACCUCAUGGCAGACAGCUGCUACACAUAUAGGAGACUUGGGGUGAAUGGAAAAAAUAAGCAUUUUUUGUAUGAAGACAUUGAAAUUCAGGUGUUGUUUGUUAUUGUAGCAAAACCUAACCUACCUUACCUAGUCUUCUAGGUGUCCUUUUCUUGUACAGG